UACGGAGGGUGCAAGCGUUAUCCGGAAUCAUUGGGUUUAAAGGGUCCGCAGGCGGUUCUAUAAGUCAGUGGUGAAAUCUCUCGGCUCAACCGAGAAACUGCCAUUGAUACUGUAGGACUUGAAUUCGGUCGAAGUGGGCGGAAUAUGACAUGUAGCGGUGAAAUGCUUAGAUAUGUCAUAGAACACCGAUAGCGAAGGCAGCUCACUAGGCCUGGAUUGACGCUCAGGGACGGAAAGCGUGGGGAGCAAACAGGG
rnacentral:rRNA from 1 species